UAGAGUUGUAGGCUUUGCCUGCUAUCUCUUACCCAUGUCUUUUGAGUACCUUACGUUUCCUCGGUGGGUUCGCCCACCGAUUGGACAAAUUUAAACCCUUUGCAGUUGAAAUCAGCGUCUGAAAAAACUUAAUAGUUACAACUUUCAACAACGGAUCUCUUGGUUCUGGCAUCGAUGAAGAACGCAGCGAAAUGCGAUAAGUAGUGUGAAUUGCAGAAUUCAGUGAAUCAUCGAAUCUUUGAACGCACAUUGCGCCCCUUGGUAUUCCAUGGGGCAUGCCUGUUCGAGCGUCAUUUGUACCUUCAAGCUCUGCUUGGUGUUGGGUGUUUGUCUCCUGUAGACUCGCCUUAAAACAAUUGGCAGCCGGCGUAUUGAUUUCGGAGCGCAGUACAUCUCGCGCUUUGCACUCAUAACGACGACAUCCAAAAGUACAUUUUUACACUCUUGACCUCGGAUCAGGUAGGGAUACCCGCUGAACUUAAGCAUAUCAAUAA
rnacentral:misc_RNA from 1 species